CCUACGGGAGGCUGCAGUGAGGAAUAUUGGUCAAUGGGCGCGAGCCUGAACCAGCCAAGUCGCGUGAGGGAGGACGGCCCUACGGGUUGUAAACCUCUUUUGCCGGGGAGCAACGGGCGUCACGUGUGGCGCCACUGAGAGUACCCGGAGAAAAAGCAUCGGCAAACUCCGUGCCAGCAGCCGCGGUAAUACGGAGGAUGCGAGCGUGAUCCGGAUUUAUUGGGUUUAAGGGGUACGUAGGCGGAUCGUUAAGUCAGUGGUCAAAUUGAGGGGCUCAACCCCUUCCCGCCAUUGAAACUGGCGUUCUUGAGUGGACGAGAAGUAUGCGGAAUGCGUGGUGUAGCGGUGAAAUGCAUAGAUAUCACGCAGAACCCCGAUUGCGAAGGCAGCAUGCCGGCUUCCGACUGACGCUGAAGCACGAAAGCGUGGGGAUCGAACAGGAUUAGAUACCCGAGUAGUC
rnacentral:rRNA from 1 species